rnacentral:tRNA from 1 species
GCCGGAAUAGCUCAGUUGGAAAAGCGUUAGACUGAAGUUGUUUACGCAACAGUCACCUAAAGGCCCCCGGUUCAAUCCCGGGUUCCGGCA